ACGGAUGAAAAAACGAAGGAAGACAAUGUCUGCCCUGCUAUUCCUGGGCUGCUGGUGUGGAACUCAUCCUAUGAUAAUCGAGGAAGUAGAAGAAGAAGAAGAAGAAGAAGAAGAAGAAUAAGAAGAAGAAGAAGAAAAAGGAGGAGAAGAAGAAGAAGUAGAAGAAGAAGAAGAAGAAGUCCAAACAGAUCAAGCAUCGAUCUGACGUCAAAGCAUCAAAUUACCUAUACCUGUACCUGUUGUUGUGGUAAUCUGUGAGACACAUGGACUCAAUAGCCCAUUACCAAGGGUAUAAAGACUAUCAAAGCUUCAUGGGUGGGGAAUGAUUAAGUG
rnacentral:lncRNA from 1 species